rnacentral:lncRNA from 1 species
UUCCGCCCAUGGUUUCAUGCCAGAAAGCUUUACGGAUAAAUUAACACUCAAAAAUAUAAAUAAAAAUAUUUUAUAAGUUUUUUCUUAUUAUAAUUAAAAAAGAACUGGUGACUAUAAAAGGGUAUGCAUGGAAGUCUAGAGAUCACAGAAAACACACACUUCAUUUCUUAAGAAAAAAGUUGUUGAAGUUUGAAGAGAUCAUGAGGGCAAUAUAUAUUAUCAGCAUCAUUAUAGUGAGCUUGAGCAUUUUCUCUUGUGGUGGGAAUGCUCGAUC